rnacentral:misc_RNA from 1 species
GCCAGUUACCCAUAUAACACAACCCCGUUGUUGAAGCAACUCUUCUCUGUCACAUUUCUCUACAGAACACUUGUGCCAGACAAUGUUUGUUGAAUUACCAAUUGUAGACAUCUGAGGUAUACCUUUACCAGCAAAACCAUUGCAAUCAUUUGUAGGCAAGUCUUCGUUGGAAUCACUCCCUGCCCGCUGAAAUUUUUCAGCUUUUCCGUCGACAUGAGACAUCCUAGAAGCUUCAAUUGCUCUUAAAGGCCUUACAAAGCUCGUUUUGACCUCGCUACCAGAAAUACUAAAGCCAAAGGAUUUACCUCCGUGAUUGCAUGCCGGUAGCUUUACUAACCCUAACUUUCCCGACGAUGUCUCCGGAAAAUCAAAUUCCGUCGAAGUCCGAUAAAUCGAUGAACAUUUUCCAAUUGCAACCAUUUUGAAUCGCACUGAGCGAAUUAUCAUUUCUUCAAA